AUACCUGCAUGGUUUUGGUGGGCUAUCUCGAUCGCACGCAUUCGAAGUUUGACUGGAAGGACUAUUCGGCUUCCUCGAAGAACAAUUCCUUCGUUAUUGACACACAGUUCGUCCGUAAUAAAUUUGUAAGAUUGUGGCAGUUGAUAACUUUGAUUACUUUGUAUGUAAUCACGAACCUGGAUCAACUCUUCAUCUUUCAUUGAUUCUUGUUGUAUUUCCUCAACCGACAUUGCUUUUGGAACUAACUGUUGGGUCAGAUAGUGGACGUAUCUAUCAGCACAAGCUUUCAUGUUGCUUCGGGUA